rnacentral:rRNA from 1 species
AGAGUUUGAUCAUGGCUCAGGACGAACGCUGGCGGCGUGCUUAAUGAAUGCGAGUCGAACGAGAUUCGAUCUGCGUCUUCGGACAAGGAUUGUUGAGAGUGGCGAACGGGUGAGUAACACGUGGGCAACCUGCCUCCAAGACGGGCAUAACAGAGGGAAACUUCUGCUAAUUCCCGAUAUACUGGUACCACACAAGUGAGUAUCAGGAAAGCUUUUGCGCUUGGCGAUGGGCCCGCGGCCGAUUAGCUUGUUGGUGAGGUAAUGGCCCACCAAGGCGACGAUCGGUAGCCGACCUGAGAGGGUGACCGGCCACACUGGGACUGAGACAUGGUCCAGACUCCUACGGGAGUUAGCAUCAGGGAAUCUUGCGCAAUGGGCGAAAGCCUGACGCAGCGACGCCGCGUGUGGGAUGAAGGUCUGCGGAUCGUAAACCACUGUCAGGCGGGACGAAUGAAUGACUGUACCGCCAGAGGAAGCCCCGGCUAACUACGUGCCAGCAGCCGCGGUAACACGUAGGGGGCCAGCGUUGUCCGGAAUUACUGGGCGUAAAGAGCGCGUAGGCUGUUUGGUAAGCGGAGGGUGAAAUUCCGGGGCUUAACCCCGGAGCUGCUCUCCGAACUGUCAGACUAGAGUUUGGGAGAGGGUAGUGGGAUUCCUGGUGUAGCGGUGGAAUGCGUAAAUAUCAGGAAGAACACCUGUGGCGAAGGCUGCUACCUGGAACAAUACUGACGCUGAGGCGCGAAAGCUAGGGGAGCGAACGGGAUUAGAUACCCCGGUAGUCCUAGCCGUAAACGAUGGACACUAGGUGUUGGGAGCAUCGACCCUCCCAGUGCUGUUCUGCUAACGCGUUAAGUGUCCCGCCUGGGGAGUACGGCCGCAAGGUUGAAACUCAAAUGAAUUGACGG